ACACGGUAGAUCGCAGUGCGGUGUCUUUAAAAUAUGUGAUCUAUGGGGGAACCUAAGUACAUGGGCGAACCCAGACACUCCGAACGGGGGAGGAGGAGUGAUAUCGGGAUCCGAGGGGCUUCCCUCAAAAAAUUUUCGAAAUUUUAAAAAAACGUAUGCAGUUUGAGUAAAUUUUGUCGUAUAUUAUAUACCAAUUUUAAGCGUCCUUCAUUUCUUGCCUUAAAAUGAGCGUAUAAUAAUAUCACACUUCCUUCUUUCUUUCCUCCCUUUUCCCCUUCUUUUUGGGGGCAAAUGGGGAGGGGGGCUUCGCCGCCUACGUCUCUCUGCAGAAACAGCAACAUCUUCUGUAAUUUGUGUUUAAAAAAACCUCUUAAUAUUAAAAAUAAUGAAAAAAUAAUAUAGUGCGGUCAACUUUUCACAAAUAUACAUUUAUUUGACUUAAGUGUACUUCCUUCGUGUAUAAAAAUGUUUAUUUGAACCAAGUCUUAUUUUCCUGUGAAGGUAAAACGUUAAACCCUUCUCAUUUUCUGUUCACAGAGAUCCAAAUCCCAACUACACCAUCAACUACGAGAAGACCAACUCCAACGACACCAACCACUGUUACCGAGAGAAUAACAACCCCUCGGCGAUUCGUCACGAGACCCUAUCGUGUACCCUCCACUUCACCUGCUGCUUUAGAGAAGAAGAUGAAGGAAUCCUCUUACGAGUCUAGUCAAAACUCAAUCAGCAACCAAAAAGGGAACAUGAACCUAAAAAUGAAGGCCACGAGCUCUUGCGCAAGCCUUUUUCAGUUCAGUUCUUUAUUAGUCCUAAUUACUCCCGUCCUUCGUUUUUGGUCCAGUUGA
rnacentral:lncRNA from 1 species